rnacentral:lncRNA from 1 species
AACAACAUGAUUGGUAACAUAAAAAGUGUAAGCAUACAAACUAUCUUUUGAAGAUAGCAAUAUCCUAAUCACAUCUCUCACCAUAUUGGUAUCUUUGCAAGCAACAUUUUUCAGCUACGAUCUAGGAAAUGAAAAUAAGCAUGUCUCCAUGAUCUCUUGAAAAGCAGUGAACCACAAACACCCCAAAAGCUUAGCGCAAAUCCUAUAGCCAUUGAAAUGUAAAACCAAUCCACUUCAUCUUUAUCACUCUCAUCAUCUUCAUAUUCGUGAUUCAGAAUAUUGUCAUCUAAACUGCAGUUCACCAAGAGUGGAAGUCCGCAGAGUUUGUUUCCUUGAAAACUCGUGGGAUCAAAGCUUUGAAGUUGAGUGCUCAAUGGUAUCACACCUGACAAAUUAUUAUCAGAUAGAUUCAAUAAGCUCAAAGUGGAUAAACUUGAAAAGCUUUGUGGGAUUUGAUCGUAAAAUUGAUUUUCUGAAAGAUCAACAAAUUCCAAGACUUUCAUUUCACCAAUGUUAUUUGGAAUCCUACCAGUUAGGUUAUUAUUAGAAAAAUCAAAUGAUCUUAAUCCUGCAAGACCUAUUAAACUUACAGGAAUAUCCCCAGAAAGGUUAUUUCUAGACAUAUCCGUACUUGUAAACAACACCAAAAUGGUGUCAUACUGGUACUUGUUGCCUUUAUCCGUCACCAUGGCACUCUCUCUCAAAACUCCAAAAAAGUAGGAAUAAUUAACUCAUCAUCAUCUCCCACUUCCUUUUUUCCUUUGACCAUUGCACUGAAAUCCCCAAUAUACCUUGGUAUGAUUCCAACAAAUGUAUUAUUUGCAAGGUCUAAAAUCUGAAGAUCUUUGAGUUGACAAAGUUCUUGAAGCAAUUCACCAUUCCUCAAAUUACUCUAGUAAGUUUAUUACCAUCUAGUCUCAAUUCCAUCAAAGAAGAAGUAUUUCAUAUCCCUUUGAAAAGAAAUUACUCCUACCUUUGAAUAAUUCAGAUACUGAUUUUUUGAGAGAGAAAGAAAUUCUAAUUUCCCUAAAAUUCCAAUUACAUUUGGUAACUUUCCAGAGAGCAUAUUACCAGAAAGGUCAAUAUUAGUUAUUGAGCUCAAAUUUGAAAUCAGACUUGAAACUGCUCCCACAAGACGGUUUUCACUAAGGUAAAGUGAUUCUAGAUCUUUGCAUCGAUAGAGCCAAUUUGGUAUGGUGGAGUUAAGGUUAUUAUCAUAAAGAUCGAACUAUUUAAGUGUUGUUAUGUUUCCACUCUUAUUUGGUAUUGCACCUUUAAUACCACUAGAACGGAGGUUAAGAUGUUCUAGAUUACUUAAAUCAAAAAACCAUUCAGGUAAAAGACAAUUGAAAGAGUUUUCAAAAGCCUUGAAGGUUGUGAGAGAAGUCAAGUUAACUUGAAAGUCGGGAAAUGGGCCAGUAAAAUUACAAUCACUCAAAUUAAGAGAAACAAGAUUGGAAAGGUUGAAAACCCAUUUGGGAAUAGGUGAAUUAAACCUAGAACUAGAAAGAUUGAGGGUUUUCAGUGAAGAAAAAUUGUGAUGAAGUAGAGUUUUUAUAUUAUUAAGACUACAAUUGGAUAAACUUAGAUCAACCAAAGAAGGAAGCAUGUUAAUAAUCUGUAGCCAAUUAGUUGCUUCGCGGAGAUCCACAUGAUACAUUUCCAGGUUCUCAAGACUCAAAAGAGUUGGCAACCACUCUAGGUUAUCGAUCCAUAGAUAACUAAUGUGUAGUUCAAUCACAUGACGAGUUAGAUAAUUGUUGCACACAACUCCUUCCCAUUCUCAACAAUCUUUUCCGACGACCCAAGAAGAGGGAAUAUCUAAGGGAUCAUCUACUUCUUUCUUCAAGCUCUCCAAUGCUCGUUGUUCAUUUUCUCUACAAAUGACAAACUUGGUAUUUUUCAAAAUAAAAAACAAGAGAACCCAUAGUGUUAUUGCUAACACUUUCAUGUUGUGUAAUAUUUUGGACUGAAUAGUAUGUGUGGCAAGUAUAGUUUCUUGCUAUACGUAUAUAUAGCUAUUAAUAACACAUUCUAAUCAUAUAUGGUAUAGUACUAUAAUUGAAAAUUAAUGUGUAGUUUUAGUAUGAUGAUGCAUGUAAAUGUGGACUGCUUGACUUUAAUAAAUAUAGACGAUCUGAAGUGAGCCAGUAAAUCUUAAGCUAGCUCCACCACUUUGUUAGAGUUGAAAAUUUUAAAGAGUUCUCUUUUUUCUUUAAUUGAGGGCCUGUUUGGCCAUAUGCGAUAUGAAAACAUGAUUUGAAAUCAUGAGAUUAAGUAGAAGUUUUGUUUGGACAUGCAAUUUGAACUUUUUAUAGUGUAUGUUUCUCAUAAACAUAAAAAAAUUCAUAAGUUGUGAAAUUAUUAAAAUUGUCCCAAUUCUUUAUACAAUUUUAUCAAAUAAACAAAAGUUUAUAAAAUCUCAUAAUACAUUAUCACAAAACUAUUAUGAAAAACAACAUUUAUUGAUCAAAUUUUAAUUCAAUAAAAAAAAAUUAAACAUAAGUUGUAGUCUUUAAAUAAAUUUGAUAAAAUAUAAUGAAUUUGGUGAAUAUAAAUCGUAUAGUAGGAAUUGAUUUGAAGUAAUAAUAAAUUUUAGGCUGGUGAGAAUAAUCAUUACAUGAGAUAUAAAUGGUUUAAAAAGUAACUAUAAGAAUUAUAAAUUUUAUUUAAAUAUAAAAUAAAUGGUUAGUAGAUAUAAAUGUGAGAUUUUUAUACAAAUACUUGAGAGUCAAUUUUUAUAUUUGAAAAAUCUCAAAUCAUGAUUUUUGGAGAAUUUGAGAUUUUAAUCUCAUAAUAUAAAAUUAUGAGAUGAAAUCAACGUAAAAUCACAUGUCUAAACAUUAAUUUCAUCUCAUAAAUUUUGUAUUGUGAGAUGAAAUUUCAUGGUCAAAUGACUACUAAUUAAACAAGUCUUCUCUGCAACUUUAUCAAGUGUCCCUGUUUGGGCCAUGCAUGUCCACCAUGCCCACAUUGAUGAAAUCGUUUAGUUGAUAAAAGAGGACUUUUCUUAACGUUUUCACAUUAGAAGGAAAAGAAAAAAAAAGAAGGAUUAAUAAUAAAUACUUCUUUUGUUCCGUAUUAGUUAUUAUAUUUAUUUAUUUUAAAUCUUAUCCUCAUCUCUCAACAAAGCUAGCUACUCUUAUUGGUAUCUGAAUAAUCAUAACAUCAUCAACUAAUAAUCAUGUAUUUGAACUCAGGAUAUAAUCAAUAAUAUUAUUUAUUUUCAAGAACAAUGAAAUAAGGGGAAAUAAUUGUCUUAUAAAAUGACAAAUGUUUUGAAAUAAAUUAAAUAAGUAUUUUAAAUAAUAUUGACAACUAAUAUAAGACUGAGAGAGUUGCUUCCAAAAAAUCAGAGGUUCAAUAGGUAGCAAUGUGGAAAAUCACAUAUCGCAAGAGAGCUUCAAUGGGGUGUAGUCAACUUUCAAAUAAGAAACAGAUUCGGAGUCUGAUGGUAGAGAUUUUCUUGAACUUCCUCUUGGUAUGGUAUGACUCAAAAGACUAUCCAUCUCUUGUCUGCUAUACAUUGGGCAGAAUAGAUUUAUGAUUGCUUUCGUAAAUAAUUUUAGUUUUAGAAAUUCAAAUUUUCAAAUGGAGCUUAAGUGAGCUUUGGCUUUCGAUAAGGAAAUUUAUUAAAGAAGGGUAGGAUAUUGGAAAUUGGAAUGCAUGGUUUUAAACCUAUAAUGACAUUUUUGUGGAAAAAAGGCCCAAAAUAGAUCAUGCUUAUUCCUUUUUCAUAUGGAACACUAAUUAUCCCUCUGGUUUGUAAUUUUGAUGCACUUUUGGUCCUCUUAAACUUUCGUGUAUUUUUAACAUUAGUUUUGUCCACAAUUUAGAGUAUGGAAUGUUCAGUGUUCUUCUUCUAUAUUUAGUAGAAACAAGAACUCUAUGAGGGAAGAUGAGAAGAAGAGUGUUCUAUUAAGAAAACUGAAUUUAGCUGCGAACUUCUUCACUAAUUCACUUGAAGCUAACAUAAAUUGAUCGUUGAGUAAGAGUAAAGAUAAAUUUUGUUGUUUAGCUAUAAAACUUGUCCGUGGCUAAAUCCUAUCUUUUUUAGUCCAAACAUCAUUGUAGCUAAUUAAAUCAAGAGUUUACCUUUAUUUGUAUUGUUGCACAUGAAAUCUUACAUAAUGAGCCUUUCGAUCUCAAAAAGUAAAGACAAGUUUGAGGGCGGACUAGAACUGCACCAAUACUAUAAACAUGAAGUAUUAUUAGUGUUUCAUGUGAAAAAAAUAAGGAUAACAUUCAGUCUGAACUCAAAGAUAAGGGACUAUUUUAAGUCUUUUCUCUAUUUUUGUGCCUAUAAAUUAUGUCAUAAAGGGUAAAAUAAAAAAUUGAUGAUAAUUUCCUUUUGAAUUUUUUUAUUUUGCUCAUGAACCAAUUCCAUAAAAUUUUGGUAUUAUGAAAAAAGAAUGAUCUUUAUGAAAUAUUUGUGGUACAAUUUUCUAUAACCAUUGGAUAUUGGACUAAUAUUUUUUUUUAUGUACAUGAUGAAUAGGGUUGUGAUGCAUCAAUUCUAUUGGAUGGAAACAAUAAUGAGAAAAAAGCAGUCCCAAAUUCAAGUGUUAGGGGAUAUGGACUCAUUGAUGCUAUUAAAGAAGCUUUAGAAGCAGAAUGUCAAGGCCUAGUUUCUUGUGCUGACACUAUUUCUAUGGCAACUAGAGAUGCUCUUGUCUUGGUAAAUUUUACAUUUUAUUUCAUCAUUAUUACUUCCAUAUAUCAUUAGAGAUUUUCUAUGUUACAACUAUAAUUAAGUCCUCUGAUCGCUAUCGAUAUGAUGUGAGGUUAAUUUGCUAAUCGUAACGAACUUAAUUCUAUUUCAAAAAAAAAAAAGACCUCUGACCUAGGUUGAGAAGGGAUUGGGGUCACUUUUUUUUAAGGACUUUAGUUCUCAACAAGGCUCGAAGUCCUUUGACUAGAUUUGAAAUGGAUCAGGUAAAACAUCCGUUUAAAAUAUGAGUGAGACUAAUUAGUAAUUUUCUCUAUUUCUUCGAUGGUACCAUUGAUAGUAUAUAUUUCUUUUUUAAUCUGUCUCAAAAAGAGUGUUGUUUUCUAUAUUAGUAAGUUUUUCAGUUUUGAAUAUUCUAUAUGACAAGUUUAAGAUCAUAAGAUUUAAUUGGAUGACACACAUCUUUAAUCUAAAAUCCACAAUAUUCAAAAGUCUAAUUUUGUUUCUUAAGCUCCGUGCAUAGUCAACUAACGAGUAAUGAGUAACAUUUUUCUCCGUAACUUAUUUGAUUGGCCAUGGAGUUAAGGAAAAACUGAAGAUUCUUAAAACUUGUGGUCUUAAAUAUGCUACAAUAUUUGUACGACUAUAAUACAAUGAGAUUAACUUAUCUUAUUUAGUUUUGAUUAUGAAGUGUCACGGGCUGGAGGAAAAUGGUAUGAUGUAGAAACAGGAAGAAGGGAUGGAGAGGUUUCCUUAGCAUCAAAUGUGAAACUUCCUGCUGCUACAAUUUCAGUGUCUGAUUCCAUCAAACCCUUUGCAAGCAAAAGUCUUACUCAAACAGACAUGGUUUAUCUUCUAGGUAAUUUUCCAUUUUACGGCAUGUGCGCACCUCAACUAUUUUAUCGCGUACAUACUAUCUCCCACUAGGUGAAUAUACCAAGUAACUCUAUUCACUGAAUCUGAGACGGAUCAAAUUAGAAAUUACCUAAUAUUUUCUUACUUUUACUAAGAUUUGAAAAGCGGUGUAUUUAUGGUUCACUUUUCAUUAUGUUGCCUAGUGGGACAUACCUUUGGAUGCUUUCCUUUUUAACCUUUUUAUUUUACAACCUUUAUCUUAUCUUACAUAUUCUUUUUAUGACAAUGGUACUCAAACUAGCUUGCGAGUUGCGUGCACCUAGAGUAUAUACACUAUUUUACUAAAAAUUCAAAGGUAGAGACAUGAUUUAAAUUUAAGGGUUUUAAGCCAUAAUCUUCUUUGGUUGCCGCAUUUUUAGAUAGAUUAAUUAUAAUAUUUAAUAAAUUUUUAAACAUGAAUACAAUAUUCAAGACAAAAUUAUAUAUUGAUGAGUUUUGUUGAAUCCAUAACUCUAGAGUGCAUGCUACCUCGUAACAAUUAAUCAACAUGCUAUGAUGAGUACAUGCUGCCUCGUAACAAUUAAUCAACAUGAUCGCUGAAUAACUUUGACCAUCAAAAUUUUAGACAGAUUGAAAGACAUCACUUCCUGAAAUUUGAACUCUGAUAUGAUUUUCAUCUCAUUUCAUUGACCGUUAAUUACUUGUUUAUUUUCAAUUCUUGGUGGACACAUUGUUGGAGUUGCUCGUUGCUCACUCUUCAAAGAUAGAAUAUACAACUUCAAUAAAACUGGUGGUCCUGAUCCAAGCAUGAGCCCAUGGCUAUUGGCUGAAUUAAAGGAUAAAUGUCCUAGAAUUUCAUUAAUAUUUGAUAACACUUAUCCUCUUGAUGUGAAGACUCCAUCUUUGGUAGAUAAUUCAUAUUUUCAAGAAAUUAAAAAGGGAAAUGGGGUUCUUCAAAUUGAUCAGCAAAUAGCAUUGGAUGAAUUGACAAAGAAUAUUGUUGAUGAUAUUGUUAAUGAUCCUGAUUUUUACACUAAGUUUGGUGAGGCCAUGGUGAAAUUGGGUAGAGUUGAAGUAUUAAUUGAUGGUCAAGGAGAAGUGAGGAAAUCAUGUAGGGUUGUUAAUAAGAAGCCAUUUAUUUUUGGAGGGCUCAAUUAGAAAAAUGUCUAUUUUUUGUUAAUUUAUUUGCUUAUUGUAUAAGUUUUCUUUGGUUACAUUUUUUGUAUUGGAGGGGGGGUAGAGACCCCUCCUUCAUUGAUUAUUUAGCAUUUGAAAUUUUAGUAUUGUUGUACUCUUUUUCUUUUGUGUAUUUUUUAUUCUUCUUUGUAAUUUGAUUGAUUUUUAUUGAAACUACUUAAUUUUAUUUGGAGUUUUUAAAGUGUGAACGAGAAAUGAGAAAAAAACAUACCUUUUUUAUUACACCAAAAAUGUAUUUUUUGGAUUGUACCUUUCCAUCUUAUGACUCUUUUAUUAUCUAUAAACUCAAAGGUCUUGCCUCAGAUUAAAUACAUCGACAAUAUUGAAAUAUAAAAACUUUUUCCUAUCAGUUUUUGGAUUGUUUUCAAAAUAAAGUAAGUGUCGCAGUGAAGUUUGAAUUUGCAAUUACGAUUGCUUGUAGAAUUGGGGAUGUGAUGACACCUAUGUAACCCUCGGAUAGGCAAGCCUACCCAAGAUCACAAAACAAAAUACAAAGCACGAACACGCAGAACUAACAUUUAUGAAUCACUAUAAGUCAUAAAACAAUAUUUUCUCAUAAAACUUAUAAAAUAUGAGGAAAAUAGAUACAACUCUUCCCAAAACCUAGCCUGAAGCGCUAGGCUCUAAACCUGCACAACAAUGUGUUAUAAGAACUUGUUUUUACUACUCCUCUAAAAAAGUUGUUUUUUCAAUUUACGAAAGAAACUUAUUUUCAGAAAAAAUAUUUUUCAAAAUAUGAAAUAAUGAAUACAUACCAAACACACCUUGAGAUAUGUUAUGAGAACUUGUUGUCUCUUUCCAAGAUAUGCCAAUUCCUAGAAGGACUCGCCUUUUUAGUUUGGAUUUCGAGAGUUAAAUUUUUAAAUUUAAAUAGUGAAUUCGGAUAUGAAAAAUUCAAUUUCUUAAAAAUAAAAUUUACGUAUAUGGAAACUACAUAAAAAAAUACUAUUAAGUCAAAAUAUUUAAUUAACAUAUGUCUCACGACUCUGAUUGAAAUAAGAAAAUUGGAACUAUGAAAGAAACACCAUUGUUUGAACAUCUUAAGAAACAUUCAUUUGAGGAAGUUGUUAAGACAUAAAAGUCUACAUAUUGAAUACAAAAUGAUUUCUAACAUGAGAAAUGUAAGCACGCACAGUAACUUUUGAAGAUAGAAAUAUCCUAAACCAUAUCUCUCAACAUAUUGGUAACUUUGCAAGUAACAUUUCCCAGCUACGGUCUAGAAAACGAAAAUAAGCAUGUCUCCAUGAUCUCUUGAAAAACAAUGAACCACAAACACCCCAAAAGCUUAGUGCAAAUCCUAUAGCCAUUGAAAUGUAAAACCAAU